AGGAAAAGAAACUAACAAGGAUUCCCUUAGUAACGGCGAGUGAACCGGGAAGAGCUCAAAUUUGAAAUCUGGCUGUCUUCGAUAGUCCGAGUUGUAAUCUAUAGAAGCGUUUUCCGUGCUGAACUGUGUCUAAGUCCUCUGGAACGAGGUAUCAAAGAGGGUGACAAUCCCGUACUUGACACAAUCAUCAGUGCUCUGUGAUACGUUCUCUACGAGUCGAGUUGUUUGGGAAUGCAGCUCAAAAUGGGUGGUAAAUUCCAUCUAAAGCUAAAUAUUGGCGAGAGACCGAUAGCGAACAAGUACCGUGAGGGAAAGAUGAAAAGCACUUUGGAAAGAGAGUUAAACAGUACGUGAAAUUGUUAAAAGGGAAACGAUUGAAGUCAGUCGUGUUUAUUGGAUUCAGCCGGUCUUCGGUGUACUUCCUUUAAACGGGUCAACAUCAGUUUUGUUCGGUGGAUAAAGGCAGUAGGAAUGUGGCUCCCUCGGGAGUGUUAUAGCCUAUUGUCACAUACACUGGAGGAGACUGAGGACUGCAGCUCGCCUUUUUGGCCGGGGUUCGCCCACGUUCGAGCUUAGGAUGUUGACAUAAUGGCUUUAAACGACCCGU
rnacentral:rRNA from 1 species